rnacentral:rRNA from 1 species
ACCCAUAAGACGAGAAGACCCCAUGGAGCUUUAAACCUAGCUACACCCCAGAUUUUUUAUACCUUCUUAUUAACCUGGACCCUGUAUACUAAGUUUUAGGUUGGGGUGACCGCGGAGUAAAAUAAAACCUCCGCAAUGAACGAGCCUACCCUCUAAUCUAAGAAGAUCACUUCUAAGAAUUAGCACUCUAACAUAAAAUGAUCCGGUAACCGAUCAACGAACCAAGUUACCCUGGGGAUAACAGCGCAAUCCACUUCAAGAGCUCAUAUCGA